CCUUUCUUCAAUAUCUACCAAUGGAGGCGAGAGAUGAAUAAAUUCACCACCCAUUGCAGCCUAUUGAGCACAACCACUUUUGCUGCAGUUCACUAACUUCUCUAAAUAAUACAGCUCAAGAACCAUUCACCCAGAAUACCAAAUUUUCCUUCUAUUUUUUCUCUGAAAUGAAAGAAAAACUCGUUGAAAUAUGAAUCUAAUAGAGGAACUGAAGAAAAUUUCGAGAGGGAUUUUGAUGAAGGAAAGGAUAAUCACGUACGAGGAUUGCAGAAAAAACCACGCAGCCAGUAUAGGGAAAUAUGUAGUCGAUGGGUGCUGUAAAUUCAUGCCGGCCGGAGAAGAAGGAAGCCAUGGAGCUCUCAAGUGUGCUGCAUGCAAUUGUCACAGGAAUUUCCACAGAAAGGUGGUUUAUCAAUUUCUAACGUACGGUGAUUGCUCCUCCAAAUCCUCAACUCCAAAGUGAUUAUUCAGAACUAAUUGUAGCGAAUAGUUAAUCUUUGGAGUUGUAAAGUGAUGAAUCUCCAUUUGUUAUAUCAUGCAUGAAAAGAAAUUGUAGAAAAAUUCUGGUAACGGGGUGAACGAAAGAAAGAACAAUGGAUUUAUUUUAUUUGUAGUAAUGUUGACACAGUUACUUGGAUAAAUUUUAGAAUAAAGAUAUAUGUACUGAACGGGGGGUUACCGAACCGUGUCCCUCCUCAUAAACAUGCGGGCCUGCGUGUUAUUAAGAAUUUCGAGCCGUGGUUCCCACCCCAUAUUGUGUGUAGAAGGUAAAAGAUUAUGUAGGUGUAGCAUGGUGAAUAAUUAAUUGUUGUGCGGGUUACUUAUCAAUUUUCUUGCUUGAAGAUUUGAUCUGAAAUUGUUUGUUUGACUAGAAAGAUGAUUUUCAAAGCUUGUUGAACUCCCAGACGAUGUACUUCGUUUAUUAUUUUUAAAACCUUUUAUAUUUCUUGGUU
rnacentral:lncRNA from 1 species